rnacentral:piRNA from 1 species
UACAUUGAACACAUUUUAAAACGUGCCUCGAA